rnacentral:rRNA from 1 species
AUUGAACGCUGGCGGAAUGCUUUACACAUGCAAGUCGAACGGCAGCACGGACUUCGGUCUGGUGGCGAGUUGCGAACGGGUGAGUAAUACAUCGGAACGUGCCCAAUCGUGGGGGAUAACGUAGCGAAAGCUACGCUAAUACCGCAUACGAUCUAAGGAUGAAAGCGGGGGAUCGCAAGACCUCGCGCGGUUGGAGCGGCCGAUGGCAGAUUAGGUAGUUGGUAGGGUAAAGGCCUACCAAGCCGACGAUCUGUAGCUGGUCUGAGAGGAUGAUCAGCCACACUGGGACUGAGACACGGCCCAGACUCCUACGGGAGGCAGCAGUGGGGAAUUUUGGACAAUGGGCGAAAGCCUGAUCCAGCCAUUCCGCGUGCAGGAUGAAGGCCCUCGGGUUGUAAACUGCUUUUGUACAGAACGAAAAGGUUUCUACUAAUACUAGGAGCUCAUGACGGUACUGUAAGAAUAAGCACCGGCUAACUACGUGCCAGCCGCCGCGGUAA